GUGCAACCAACGAGGAUAAGUUUAACAUAAGAUGGUAAACUCUGAUAAACUAAACUUCAAAUUACAUUUGAAAUGAAAUAAAUCUAUGUUACUAUUUAGAUCUCGUAACAUUUGACAAAUGUUAGGUAAAGCCUAUGUUACUAAAUGAUUUCAGUAACACUUUAGAGUAUCACUUGUAACACUUAAAAAAUGUUACUUAUUAGUAGCUAAUCUGUAGCUAACUUGCAGCCAAUCUAUAGCUAACAGUUUAGGUGCAAUUGUAGCAAAAAUUGUUGCAUAAAUGUUACUGAAGCACAUAUAUAAAACUCCUGUGUGAACCGCAUAAGAAGUGAAAAACUGACUUACAAAUGCAAACAUGGAAAACAAAUAACAACAGAAAAAGAAAUAUAUAGAAACAUUCUUCCUUAUUUAAACAUAUAUAGUCAGAAACAAAUUUCUUUAAAAAAACAUCCUUGAAUUUGUCAAAUAACCUCUACUUCAGAGUCACAAACAUUCUUUGAAUGGAUAAAUGUCUUCCAGAGUCAAUGCCUCAACGUAUUGCUUAUGGCUGAAACUACUUCUUGUUCUCUGAGAUUCUCAUUUUCCAUCUAUAAGACAUUAAUUGAUAGAGGAAGUUACAAUCGAAGACAUCUUUUAUGAAAAUCAUAAUAUAGGGAUAAUGCAAUGCAACCUUGCAGAUUAAAAGAUCACGUAUCUAAGAUAACUAUUUCACAAAAAAACUAGUUUGUAGUUCUGUAAUUUAUUCAGGAGAGAUAUCAUUCACAGAAAAAUUAGUGUAUUUGCCAAAUUGAUCAAUAGUGUCUCAUAGUUAACUAACCUCAAUGCUCCUAUGGCCAUUAGUUUAUGUAGCAAAUAAUUUCACUUACAUGUACUCCUUGAAUCCAAAGGUUUUCCAUGCCUUCCAC
rnacentral:lncRNA from 1 species